rnacentral:rRNA from 1 species
GGGUCAGUAGGUUGGUCGUGCCACCGGUACGUACUGGUCUCACUGAUUCCUCCUUCCUGAAUAACCGUAAUGCCAUUAAUUUGGUGUUGCGGGGAAACAGGACUGUUACUUUGAAAAAAUUAGAGUGUUUAAAGCAAGCUAACGCUUGAAUACAUUAGCAUGGAAUAAUGAAAUAGGACGAUCGAUCCUAUUUUGUCGGUUUCUAGGAUUGACGUA